UCUUGUACCCACCAAGCUCACAACUUAGUUCAAAACUCUUUACUUUAAGUUCAUACAUGUUAUAUUCAAGUGUUGAAAACAUUCCCAAUUCACCAUCUUCUAUAUCAUUGAACUUGUGAUUUGUAAAAGUGUGAACCGUGGGAGCUUUGGCUUUCCAACCUAGUUCCACUACCUCACUUGUAAACUUUGUGUAUGAACACCUGGCUGAAUUUAUGAUAAUAAUCGGGUUAUGGUUAUUCGUCAUAAACUUUGGCUACUUUAUCUACGAUUCUAAGUCUCUCGUUGUUGGUUCUAAUGGGCAAACUAGGACCCAUGAAAUCACAUACAACUUAGUGUCAAAAACGAGUACUUAGACUAGAUAAUACUUUUAUGCAUACAUACUUUUUAUACUUUAAAUUCCAAUCCGAAUCUUUCGUCUUAAUUCCGUUACUCACACACCUUCGUUUACCCCUUGUAGGGUGACCUCGGUGUUCCAUCCUCCAACUCUCAAACUCUUCAUGGGAUUUCAAAGGAAAGAUUUGCAAAACCGUUGAUGAUGAUGAUCUUGAUGAAAUCUAGUAGGGACGACUUUAGAAACACAUAUCAAAAUACAAGAUUUUGUUAUCAUAUUAUUGUUGAACUUUGAUGUACUUAGAAUUUCUAUUGUUGUACUUUGAUUUCUUAUCUUGUAACUUGACAAUUAUUAUAUAUGAAUGAAAUCAGUUUUGAAUUAAAUAUUGUCACAAGAGUGUUAUGAAGUCUCGAGCAAUCUCGAGCAAUCUCGUUCGUCUCACUCCGAUGUUUCCACCAUCGGUUGGGGUGUGACACUUUGCUUUUUUCGUAUUACGUAACUUGCAUUAAAACAUCUUCCGGUAGCGUUUGGAAGAUAAUUGCUUUCGUUGUAUGCCCCUUAUUUUCGUUUAUCACUUCCGUUGAAACAACUAUUUCCCAAAGAUUAUAUGCCUUCAAAAUUGUUUCAAUCAUAACUGCCCGUUGGGUGUAAUUCGACUCUUUCAAUUUUGGGCAUUGAAGAGACACAUCCCCUUGCUCUUGGAGUGACGUUGAUGCACUUCCUUCUUUGUCUGUCAUGCCUUCUUUCUUUCUUGCCUUGUUUUUCUUUCCUAUCUUGUUUGUGAUCGGAUGAUCCUUUCUUGAUCGAAUAGAUCAAAUUUCUUACUUAGUACUUGCAUCUGGCCAACUUACUAACCAGCUUCCUGCGUUUCUGAUCAACUUACUAGUACCCUGACCCACUUGCUAAUCAGGUUCUUGCUAACUUGCUAUUGUGAGUGAGAUCAAAACUAUCCAACCAACUUGCUAAUUGGACAUAAUUUUGAUCGACCUGUUGUACUUGCUUUUUCUUGCUUUGACCGAGAAUGGUCGUUUCUUGCUAGACUGAAUCGUGAUGAUUCAAUGAGCUACUUGCUAUAUUGAACCAAACUGUCUGGGACUUGCUAUUUGAACCAAGAAUUGGUUUGACUUGCUAUGAACCGACACGGGUUCGAUUUCUUGCUAUGUGCUCACUUUCCUAAGAAAAUUGAUUUAUUGUUUUUUUCGAACACACAAUUCCACUAAGAAUUAGUAUCUUGCCUUUUAAUUUUCUUUUUCCUUUGAACAAAACACACAGGUGAUGUGUACUGGUUUUGAAUUGAUUUCAAACAAACAAUAUUGUAUUAAUUAUCUUGCCUUCUGUUCUUUACUAUUCCCAAGGAAAGAAUAGAUAAAUUCCUUUCUUUUGAUUCAAUUCAAAUGAUUAAAAAAACGCACUUACAAAAUCGAACACCGUCGCUUGGUUCUUGAUUGAUUUCUAUGAUUUGACACACAAAUAAUCAGAAAAGCAGUUUGUAUAAUAAAUGCAUAACAUCUUCUCAAUAACCAAUAAGCAGAUUUAAUAAUCAAUCAUACACAAGGCCAAAAUAAUAUCACAGUUGAUGCAAGAAAUGGCUAGUGUUUAUGUUCAUACCUGGAGACAAGCUCCAGCAGACAAGACAUAGGUAUCUUCUUAUCUUUGUCCUAAUUAGCUGCAGCUGCAGGUGUUUUUCCGGCCAAAAUCCCCUUCCCACCCUUUCUCGCCAUAAUCACUAAUUCAGGGCCUAAAGAAGGAAGUGAUAAAUAAGCAAGUAUUCAAACAACUUGACAAAAAGCUAAAAAUUUUCACAACUACAGCUAAAUUCACUCAAUGAAGCUGCUGAUGAACAAAUCUGGUUGUAAGUAUGCGAGAUGUAACCCUAAAACAAAAAAAAAAAAAAAAAAAAAA